rnacentral:tRNA from 1 species
GCACCUGUAGCUCAGCAGGACAGAGCAACGGUUUCCUAAACCGCAGGUCGGAGGUUCGAGUCCUCUCAGGUGCACCA